rnacentral:misc_RNA from 1 species
UUAAAAUUAAUCAGAUUAAUUUUAAAACCAUAGAUUAAAUUAAGAACAAAAACACUACCCUCUUGAUGCACUGCAGUAUAUUUGUGCCUUUCAGAUACGUUUUCAGAACACCAGAUGUUGUCCCUCUAACUUGUCCACACUAAGAACACCUAUGGUAGCCCUUGAAUAGCUUCUAAAGCUUUUUCUAUUAAUUAGAAAAUCAAGUUUUGC